UAGAAUAACAGUGAGUGGGGAAAAAAGCACAACAUAAAAAAACAUAUACCUAUUGAAACCAGACAACAAGGAACAUCAUCAAUUAAAGAAACAAUUAGAAACAGAACUUACCUCUUUCUGACAAUUCUAUUUGCAGGGGUGCAGGGAGGGGUAAAGCUGGGGUAAUGGAUUAAGAAAUAUACCAAAGCUCAGAGUCUUCAGCCAAAAACUCAAUAUUGGACAGGUACCUUUCAACCCUACCUUCCCCCAACCACCAGAGACUGUCAUCCCAGAAACCCUAUCUAGACAGUCAAACUGAACUCACUUGACUAGCAGGAGCCCACAUACUAUCUGCUAGUGAGACUAAAAUUCCACAAGCCCCUGCGCCUAUUAAAUGACUACAGUCUGUUCUCCACGGAGGCUUGAAGAGCCAUGCCAUGGUCCUGGGGUGGCACAAUGACCCUAGAGAUGGAACCUGAAGCACUUGUUUAGGUGAAACUUCUGCUUGGAGAGCGAGCAGACACAAACAGCAACCAAAGUCAAGGACCGAAGCUUCACUGACUCAGACUCACAUGCUCUUUAAAAGGGGCUGCAUCCAGUUGUUACUGGAUGUCUCUUGAGCUUCUUUCAACCUGCAAAGUUUUUAACGUAUCACCCUGGAUUAUAAUCCUGGGCUCUCUAACCUGAAAGCAGACAGCAUUUGUUUCAAAAUAGAGACAAAGAUGAAAACUUCAUCUUGGCUGCAUUUUUUAAACUCCUCUCCCAGAAUAGAAUCUUCCCUCCCUUCUGGUAAACACAUGCUUGUAUACAUUAAAAUUUAAAGGGUGUAAAAACAAGUCCAUACUCUCCGAUACCGAAGAAUCAACCCCCAAUCCACAACAGGCUCACCAUCUCCCCAAAUGGCCAUUUGGGCUAUAGGCACUGGAAACACACACACACAAACACAUACACACACACACACACACACACACACACACACAAAUGCAAACCCAACAAGAGACAUUGAAACCUAGGAGAAUGUGGAGGUAUCGCACACACUGCCUCAUUUUUGUUCUGGAGGGAGAGCAAUCAGGGUUCCAGGCAGGGUGACAUACCAUGGGCAUUAAAAGCAUAUAGUCAGUCUCAGCAAAUUAGCUAAAUUAGCGGUCAUUUGAUGGUAUUCUAUUGUUGCUAUUGUAAUCACAGUCAUUUUCCCUGGUAGUGGUGCUUCGUGAUGAAGUAUAGUUCUCACAGGAUAAUUGUGAAAGAUACUGAAAGAUUCAGGCUCAGGGAUGCCGCAUCUGCUUUCAAAAGCUCUUCAGAUUCAAACUGGCAUUUUCCUUUAUCUUGGAAAUUGAUUAGAGAUUCAGAUCAUGCCGGUUUAAAUGGAAAGGUGAAAGCACAGUAAUUUCAAUCUAUGAAUUAUUCAAUCUCAGCCUGGUGCAAUUGCCAUCCAGGAGUGGAUGCUCUGACGAUCCUUCCACAGAGCCUCCAUUAUGCUUGUCAUUUUUAUUUCUUUAUCUACGAUCUCUUUCUCAGUUACCCAGCUUGUCCCUUAGGGCUCGGCUUCACAAACCCAAAGUAUUUCAAAUUGGCAGUAACCUAAAAGUGUGGCUGUCUCAAAUCGCUGUCUCCACAGGCUGCCUUUUUUUUUUUUCCCCAAAAUCAUUUUAAACACACAUACACACACAUUCAUGAUGAUAUCAGUGAGGCUCCUUGAUUCAAUGAAUUAAAACAUACACAUACACAUACACACCCCCCCACACACACACACACAAAGAUGAGGGAAUCCUGCAAAGAAGAGUUAUGUUCCACUAACAUCACAAGAGGAGAUAAAGUGACGCUUUCUGCUUCCUUCUUUGUUGUCGGAAUGACCCAUCCCAGUUGAAUAACAUCACGCAGGAAGGAGCCAGCACUAAACAGGCUUGCCUGGCACCCUGAUUUCCAACCAGCACAGAUGAAGACGGCAUGGAAGGCAGACUAAUCCAGGCAAGCGUACAACUUAGCGAGCACGAUUAUUUAGGAAAAAUAACAAGAAGCCAUCGGAGGACCGCAAUUAAACUGUCAAUCUCCCAGGCUCCACCUGCGCCCAGAUUGCAGUCACAAAGAUUCUCCACUUGAUGGCUGGCUGUGUCACUGCUGGUCGACAGCUUGUCCCCGAAUCCAGAGAGGACUGGGAUGGAUUUAGGUAGGGCGCCGCGCUUCGUGAGAAGCCCACAAACUAUUCCCACAAGUGCUGGGGAGCCAGCCGUGCUCCAACCGGGGCGGUCUGGCCACCGGGCUCCGGGCAGUACCUGCUCUGCUGCAAACGCACGCUGCCAAGUGUGAAGCCAUCGUGUGCAUUCAGACUGCUUCUCUGCUCCUGGCUAAACACAGGUGAACAUAUUUGAAGCUCUGAGACAUGAGGAUCCUGUCCACAGUCACAGCGAACCAGUGGCAGUAAGAAAAGAACAUUUAAACGCUUUUGUACCUGUAGGGGCCAUGGUGCCAAAAAGGAAACAGACUGAUAAAGAGUCUCCAUUUGGAUUUGAUCACUUUUUCCUCACCCCCAUUGUUGGGAUCUCUAUAAAAAUAGCUUUUCCCCAGUGAUGACUGUCACUCUUUCUAAAUGGAAAACAACUUGUAAACUUCUUUUACCUCCCUGAAGUGGGACAAUAUUGGCACAAACAUUUCCUUGAUAUUUAAUAACUCCCUCCAACUGCUGCAGCUGCUCCAAGACAGACAUAGGCAGAGAUUAGAUAGGGUGUUUGCACCUGGCCGGCCAUAAACUGUUUCUUAGUUGCAGAUGAAGGUUACCAGGCCCCAUUCCCUUCUGUCCUCAGACCCAGGAGGUGGAAACAUGAAAGGGAGCUGCAGUUAUUUAUAAACAGUAAAAACUUUGGGGGAGUGUAUCAAAUGAAUGGACUGAUUUGCCUACUCAGAGUAGAAGCGGAGGUUUUUCCAGGCAGUUGACAACUCUGGUGCUUAGAAAUGCCUCCUCCUGGCCUAGUCCUUUCUAUCCCAAUGUUAGACUAUCGGUUUUGUUUCUAGCAGAGGGCAGGUAUGAACUCAACAUGGAUUAUGUGCUCCAUCUGUGAGUUCUCAGUUCUGUCCUUCGACAAGUAGGAUGUUUUGUCUUUUCAACUUGGCCUUGGGACAUCUGCCUCCCACUGGCCUCUGCACCCACCACUCUGGUUUUCUAGACCCAGCAUCUUGACCAAGGGUUGGGAGAAAUGGAGCUCAGCUUGGAGAAGGGGGCGGAGCUGGGUACCUUUUGUGGAGUGUUCUCCUUAAUUUGAUUCAAUGGAUCCUGGCUGGCAGGAAGCACAAUAAAAAUGAGUUUAUAGACCUCUGAGGCCAGCUGUCAUCUACUUAGCCACAGUUUGCUAAUUUGAAAGCAUUAUGGGGGAAAAAAAAAAAACGUUCAUAUUAGCAGAUCAUUUGUACGGGCUCCUUUUCUCCCCCACAAAUCCUAAAUAACCUACACUUCUGUUACCAGUGUGUUCUGUAAGCAUGAUUCAUUCUUAGACUGGAAUAACUCUUUUUGACUAUCUCCAAUUCAGAGGCAUGGGCUCCCCUGGUCGCUCAGUGCUUAAAGAAUCCACUUGCUAAUGCAGGAGACGCAGGGUCUA